GCAACGAGCGCAACCCUUGCUUAAUUGCCAUCAUUGAGUUGGGCACUUUAAAGAGACUGCCGGUGUUAAACCGGAGGAAGGUGGGGAUGACGUCAAGUCCUCAUGGCCUUUAUGUCCAGGGCUACACACGUGCUACAAUGGCGCAUACAGAGGGCAGCGAAGCCGUGAGGUGGAGCGGAAUCUUGUCAAAAGUGCGCCUCAAUUCGGAUUGCAGUCUGCAACUCGACUGCAUGAAGUUGGAAUCGCUAGUAAUCGCGGAUCAGCAAAGCCGCGGUGAAUACGUUCCCGGGCCUU
rnacentral:rRNA from 1 species